GACGAACGCUGGCGGCGUGCCUAAUACAUGCAAGUUGAGCGCUGAAGGUUGGUACUUGUACCAACUGGAUGAGCAGCAAACGGGUGAGUAACGCGUGGGGAAUCUGCCUUUGAGCGGGGGACAACAUUUGGAAGCGAAUGCUAAUACCGCAUAAAAACUUUAAACACAAGUUUUAAGUUUGAAAGAUGCAAUUGCAUCACUCAAAGAUGAUCCCGCGUUGUAUUAGCUAGUUGGUGAGGUAAAGGCUCACCAAGGCGAUGAUACAUAGCCGACCUGAGAGGGUGAUCGGCCACAUUGGGACGGAGACACGGCCCAAACGCCUACGGGAGGCAGCAGUAGGGAAUCGUCGGCAAUGGACGAAAGUCUGACCGAGCAACGCCGCGUGAGUGAAGAAGGUUGUCGGAUCGUAAAACUCUGUUGGUAGAGAAGAACGUUGGUGAGAGUGGAAAGCUCAUCAAGUGACGGUAACUACCCAGAAAGGGACGGCUAACUACGUG
rnacentral:rRNA from 1 species